ACACGUAGGGGGCGAGCGUUGUUCGGAAUCAUUGGGCGUAAAGGGCGUGCAGGCGGUCCUGCAAGUCCGGCGUGAAAGACCCCGGCCCAACCGGGGGGACGCGCUGGAAACUGCAGGGCUUGAGUACAGGAGGGGAUGCCGGAAUUCCAGGUGUAGGGGUGAAAUCUGUAGAUAUCUGGAAGAACACCAAUGGCGAAGGCAGGCAUCUGGCCAUGUACUGACGCUGAGACGCGAAGGUGCGGGGAGCAAACAGGUUUAGAUACCCUGGUAGUCCGCACAGUAAACGAUGUGCACCAGGUGGCGGGGGGUCGACCCCCGGUACCGUAGCUAACGCAUUAAGUGCACCGCCUGGGGAGUAUGCUCGCAAGGGUGAAACUUAAAGGAAUUGACGGGG
rnacentral:rRNA from 1 species